rnacentral:misc_RNA from 1 species
GUGAAUCAUCGAAUUUUUGAACGCAUAUUGCACUCUCUGGUAUUCCGGAGAGUAUGCCUGUUUGAGGGUCAGUUAAAUAAAAAUCGGGGUGUUUGCCACCUUUGGUGGUGACGCUUCGGAAUUGGGUCGUCUUUACCUUUCGGUUAAGUGACUUAAAAUUUUUUAGUUAUAUCUGAACGUCUUUAAAUUUAUUUGGUACGUCUUUGUGAUAUCGAAUGUUUAUUAGGUGUGGUCAUACUCAUGACUCACGUCUAUAUUUUUUCAUCUAAUGACCUAGACUCAGAU